UUACAGCUGGCAGUGAGCUCACAGGCUCAGCAUCAAAGAAUGUUACACAGUUGGGUCAUUUUGUGUGCUACUGCUGGGACAUGAGGGAGGCUGCAUCUCUGCGGGCUACAGAUCCUCCCUCAUACUGUCCUCCUUCCCAAAUACAGGAAAUCUGGUUUGGUGCAGAGAACCAGCAGAAAGAAUUUUCUUUUCUUUUCUUUUGUUUUUGAGAGCAAUUAACCUCUGGUGUAGUUAGUUUGCUGUUGAUAGAGCUCAUAAGGAAAGGUCAAGUAAGGAGGGAAAACCACAGGCCUAGUAGGAAAGAAACAGGAUAGUUUCAUCAUGUGCAGGACAAACUGAAGGGGACAGCUUCAAUCUCAAGGGAGUCAUGAGGAAGAGGUGGCAAAGAGGAAGGCACAGUAGUGGAGAAAGGGGAAGGAAAGGUCAGGUAGAGAACUGCAGGAGGUUCAUCCCAGUAACAGGCAGGAGGAGGUGAAAUGCAGGGAGCUGGAGGUGUGUUGACAGAAACCAUCAGGCUGUAAACCCAUCAAGAGUCCCAAAAGGCAGUGCUGAGACAACUGGGGACCUCAUGAAACUAAGUGGACAACGCAGGUGCAAGUUUCCUUGCACUUCUGAGGCACAAACCCAUCAGGGGAAGAAGGCAAAGAGCGAGCCAGGGAGAGACUUGCAAAACACCAAGGGCAGCAUUUCCAGGAGGGAUGCCAGCACCUGGCGAGGAGGGACAGUGCAGAAGCCUUGAGGCGAUGCGCCACGACGCUGUGCAGGGCGAGAGGGCGGCGCUCUGGGAGCGGGGAAGCUUCGAGGGGCUGCACCGAGCGGGGCAGCCGGUCCCGGCUCGCCCAGACAGGGAGCUCUUACGAUAUGAUGAGGUUUGACAUCCCUCAUAGCUGAGAUUCGGUGUGAAAAAGUCUGUGCUUGGGCAGGGGAGUGAACUCAGGCAAAGAGGAAAACAGAAUACAUGCCCAGGACUUUUCUUCACUGCUCAAUGGGAAAAAGAAUGACAGUGUGCUGGAAACUGAGAAGAAGCUUCAUAUAUUCAAAGAUGCUGCUCCUGACCUUUUGUUCAGCAGAGAGAGAAAAUAAAACAACAUCUACCAAACUUGAAGCAACAUAAAUUCUCUUGGACACCCAAAAGGUUCUUCCCCUGCCAUCUUCCUAAACAGAUAUUAUUUUUCAUCUAAAGACACAGAAAACAAGGACUGCAUAAAAAACCAAUAGAAGAAACAUUUAAAAAUGGGCUAUCAUUCUUAAAGCAUCUGAUCAAUUAAAUUACCAUUAUUUCCCCAUCCCCCUCCAGUCUUACUGUAUACAAACAGAAUAAACAAUCAAAUUCACAUUGAAGUCCAGGGCUUCAUUUUUCUGUAGCUCAAACACGUUUCAGAACAGACUAGGCUCCAUUUGUAUACACAUAUAUUAACGAAAGAACACAUUUCAAUUAAAAACCCUUUCUAUGUUUCAAGCUGCUUAUAUCUUAUACAUACAGAUACAUUUCACACAUUGGGGGAACAGGCACACACAGCCAAGCCCAAGCAGUUAACUACUAGCACCCUUCCUUUGUUCAGCUCCCACAAAUUUCUGCUGCUGGUGGGUGUAAGUCUUUUGAACUUUUUGAAAGAAAGGGAAAAUUGUAGCUCAGUGUGUUUAACCAUGUGCCUUCCAGGGCUGCAGGCAGAACUUGAGAAGGAGCAAUAUGAAUGUGUGGUGAGCAGCUCACAGCAUUCCUUGGGGCUUUUCUGUUGUUUCUGCAACUGUUUAUCAAUUUCAGUAGGACACACAAUGGGAACACAAGUAUCCAUGUGCCUCAGGCAUCACCCAGCAUUUACUCAGCAACAGGAGGAAGACGAGUACUUUGAGCUUUGCUCUCUGGGUUGAAAAUUGAAAUGAGCUGGUUCAAACAGAAUGCUGGAGAAUGUACCCACUGUCCUGCAUGAGGGGAAAUGCCUCCCUGUUAGAGGUGCUGGUUGUACUCCUCAUACCUACCCCAGCUUUUAAACACAAUUAAAUAUACCUCUUUUGUUAGCUUGGAAGGGCAUGCCUUCUACAGCUAAUGCCCUGUAGCAAUAUUGACAGACACGGUCAUAACAACAAUGUCAUGGCCAGAGAAAGAAAGGAAAAUACUGCUGACCUGACUGCAGUAUAGAAGUUUUCCAAUAUGUUAUGUAUUUAGAAGUAAAAAAAUAGUUUGAAAAUUUAAGAAAUGGGGUAGGAAAAUCUAAGGAGGCCACAGUCAAGAAUCUGUAAACAGGAACGGCUCUUUAGAAGAGAAUACAGAAACAGAUGACUACCCAGAAAAGUAGAAGAGAGCUUUAACUCAUAUUAACACCCAGAUAUAACAAUAAAAUAAAUGCCUACCUCUUUAAAUCAGAUUCAUUGUGCACCCAAGGAAUUGUACUCCUGUUCAGAAAAGAACACAUGAAAUCUCUGUCACACAUUUGUCUAACCCAAGAUCAAGCUGCCAAAACUGAUGAGCAAACAGAAGAAGCAAAAUCUUCAAAAACUCUACCCACCCUGCUCCUGUAACAAGCUAGGUAAGGACGAUCCACUCUGACCAAGUGGAAACCAUUUCCCCUUUCCUUUGGAAAUCAGCACCUGGGCAGCCUCCUUUAAGCUGAGGUUGUGCUGCUUCAUGGCAGGUGAGAGCCUGUGAAAGGUCAGGGAUUGCUGAGAGGUCAACUAAGGGAAAAAGAAAAAACAUGUGCAAUAAGCAUCUUCCCAUUAUAUCCCAAGGUUGCACAUUUGGUUUUCCCAAGCUGGGAAGGGAGGUUGGGCCCUGCACUGCUCCCUGGGGAAAGGCUGCUCUGCCAGCCUGCCUCUGACUCACUGUUGUGACAUCUGGUAUUAAAGCUUAGGCAGUUUGAAGAUCUGGAAAAGAGCAUUUAAAAACCCGUUAUUUCACCUGUUCAUUUGAUUUUUAAAUAACUGUGUUAAUUCUUAUUUACCACAUCAGGCCCCUGAAUAUACUGAGCAUUGUUCCAAGUUAUUGUAACCUUCCCUCUUAAAGUGGAUUUAAGCCAUUACAGUCUAUCACAUAAAUCCUUCUUAGUUUGUGGAUUAUUGACCUGAUAGGCCCAAACAGCUCCAUCUGUCCUUUUAAAUGGGCAUGAAUGCUGUGAGUGUUUAUUGCUUUCAAUCCUAUUAUUUGCAAAAUGCUUUCUUUCUCUGUCUCUGUGUGUGUGUGUGUGCUUGUGCUUACUAUUCAGGGACAAUUUAUUGUCAAAUUGUUGUCUACACCCUUUUAAACAUAGGGCUUUCCAGUGCAAACUGCCCCCAUACAGUGGCAUAAGUGAAUGUACUGCUACUUGACUUGGGAAAUUAAGCUGUUGACUUAGAGCCAGCCUUUGAGACUGAUGUAAAAGUUGAUAGACUGGAAGAUCAUUUGAAAGUGAAAAGGGACUCCCUUUUGAAAUGUUGAUGUGAAUAAAGUCUGAGUUAAUGAAGCUUUUAUAGUCAUAAAGUUACUUUCAGAUAUCUACCCAAGUGUUUCUUUUGAAAGAGCUAAAAUGAUGCUCUAAGGGACAUUUGUUGAAGUGAAAACAGGAGUAAAAUAGUUUAUUACCCGUUGAUAUGUGUCAAGAUGAGAGUAUGCAGAGAAAACCAGGAAUUUUUCAUUGGUCGGUGUUUGUGGGUCAAAUAAUUUACCAAUACUCAGUUAAUCGUUUUGGUGUGUUAAGUCAAAUAUUUCUGAGAGAAGUUUUAAAGUGCUGUAAAAAGGUUCCCUGUGCAAGCUGGCCUGCUCCUUCCUGUCCCAAGGGUAUUCUACACACAGAAUUGUUACUGUUAGGCAAUGUAGGGAAAAGCCUGGAGACCGAAUAUGAAGACAAAAAUCUACUAAUGUGUCUGCUGCCGUGGCUUCAUGGAUUUCAUUGCUGCACUUUUGUCCUCUUCCUAUGGGUGAGCUACUCCACCUGGCACCAGGAGGCCAGGCCAUGCAGAACAUGUGGUUGUGGCUUCCCAGUAUGCAGAAUGUUUUGCCUCUGACCUGGCUUGAUUCUCUUUGCAGCAAAGAUUAGUGGAAAAGAGACAGGAAAAGAGACAGUCUAGCCAGUCUGUUCUGAAUAAUACUUUAAAAUCUUACAGAAACUAAAAAAACACUUUGCAGAUGGUUUGUAAUAGCUUUUGUAUAUAAAAAUAGAGAUGUCUUAGGUCUGACACUUGGUAGAGAGUGGUUUGUAACUGGUUUAUACUCUUUUACAACAUAUGUAUGCAAGGGACACACAGUUGUUUUUUCAGGGAUGGGGAAACUCACAAAGUGGGAGGAUAUUUUUGGCAAGCUAUUUUUGCAAAAAAAAAAA